GUGAAUGUUCAAGCUUCUCUCAAUUACCAUCGCUACUACUAUGAAUAUCAUAUUCCUUAGUGAAACUUUGUAUCUUAAAAGUGUUGUUGGAACCGUGAUAGUAUCUACUGGGUUUUAUUCUGUUAUUUGAGGACAAGCAAAAGAAGAUAAAUUGUUUCAAGAUGAAAACUCCUUGUCAGGCAGUAAGGUUUCUUUAAUGAUUUAUUGUAUCAAUUAUGAAACAAAAGAAAUGACAAAUUUGGAAUUUAUGCACUCAUUUGAUAAUGACUGUGUUAACAUCUUUCCUUGUUAUUGAGCAAAUUGAAGUGCUUUAUAAAGUUGGCAGCAUCUUUCCUGUUAUUUGAAA